UUUUUUUUUUUUUUUUUUUUUUUGAGACAGAGUCUAGCUCUGUCGCCCAGGCUGGAGUGCCGUGGCACGAUCUCGGCUCACUGCAAGCUCCCCCUGCUAGGUUCAUGCCAAUUUCCUGCCUCGGCCUCCUGAGUAGCUGGGACUACAGACACCCGCCACGACGACCUGCUAAGUUUUUUGUAUUUUUAGUAGAGACGGGGCCCGGAAACCCUUUGAUACUCUUUCCCAAUCAUUAUCUCCUCCUUCCCACACAAAAGUAACCUUUAUCUAACUUUUAUGUGAAACCAUUCCUCACUUUUUCCAUUAUUUUAAUAUCUAGAUUUUCUUCCCUAAAUAUUACAAUUUACUUUUACUACUCUUUUGAUAUACAUUAAAAUGAAAUAAUAUAAUAUAUGUUCUUCUUUGGCUUAUUUUAUGCAGCAUUAUGUUUGUGAGAUGUAGCCAUGUGGUUCUUUUAUUUUCAGAGUUGUAUAGUACCCUUGUAGCAAUAUUCCCAUCUUUGUCAGCUUGAGGGACUGAUCUAGUUUGUAUAUUUGUCCCCACCAAAAUCUCAUGUUGAAUUGUAAUUCCCAGUACUGGAAGUGGGACCUGGUAGGAGGUGAUUGUAUCAUGGGGGAGAAUUUCUCAUAAAUGUGUUAGUAUCAUUCCCUUGGUGCUGUCCUCGCAAUUGUGAAUGAGAUCUCCUGAGAUCCGGUUAUUUAAAAAGGUAUAGUCCCUCCUCACCUUCCUCUGUCUUGCUCCUGCUUUUAACUAUGUGAUGUUCCUUCUCUCACUUCACCUUCCAUAAUGAGUAAAGGCUUCUGGAGGCCACACCAGAAGCCAAGCCGGUGCUGGUCGCACAUUUGUGCAGCCUGCAGAACUGCUAAAUUUCUCAGUCUCAGGUAUUAUUUUUAACAGCAACACAAGAGUGGCCUGAUACAGAGGCUAUAAUAAAACAUUAUAGCCUAGGCUGCUUAAACAACAGAAAUUUAUUUCUCACAGUUCUGAAGGUUGGGGAGUCCAAGAUCAAGGUGCUGGCUGAUUUAGUUCCUAAUGAGGGCUCUCUUCCUUGGUUUCUCAGAGUGGUCUUCCCCUUAUGUUCUCAGGUGACCUUUCCUCAGUGCUCUUUUUUCCUCUUCUUACAUGGCCAUUAAUCUCAUCAUAAAGGCUCCAUUCUCACUACCUCAUCUAACCUUAAUUACAUCUCAAACACUCCAACUCCAAAUACCAACACAUGGGGAGUUAAGAUUUCAAUGUAUGAAUUCUGGAGAAACACAAGUAUUGAGACCAUAACAAUUCCAUACUUUGUUAGUCACUUUUUCUAUUUGAGUUUUAAAAAUAUUGCUGGUAAACAUUCCUAUUUAUAUUCAAUAUUCUAUACAUGCAUGUAUUUCUGUUGUUAUGAACUUACUCAGUAACAAGGUAUGAAGUUCCCCAACUUCACUAGGUAACGCUAGUUUUCCAAAUUAUCAAUUUACCUAUUUAAACAAAUUUACAUUCCCACCAGCAGCAUAUAACAUUUUUAUCACUUUACAGUCCGGUUUUAAUUUUAGCAAUUCUGAAGAAUGAGUAAUGGCUUCUCACUGUGGUUUGAAAUUGCAAU
ensembl:lncRNA